CCUACGGGCUGCAGCAGUGGGGAAUAUUGGACAAUGGGCGAAAGCCUGAUCCAGCAAUGCCGCGUGUGUGAAGAAGGUCUUCGGAUUGUAAAGCACUUUCGACGGGGACGUUGAUGACGGUACCCGUAGAAGAAGCCCCGGCUAACUUCGUGCCAGCAGCCGAGGUAAUACGAAGGGGGCUAGCGUUGCUCGGAAUGACUGGGCGUAAAGGGCGCGUAGGCGGUUUAUGCAGUCAGAUGUGAAAUCCCCGGGCUUAACCUGGGAACUGCAUUUGAGACGCAUAGACUAGAGGUCGAGAGAGGGUUGUGGAAUUCCCAGUGUAGAGGUGAAAUUCGUAGAUAUUGGGAAGAACACCUGUGUCGAAGGCGGCAACCUGGCUCGAUACUGACGCUGAGGCGCGAAAGUGUGGGGAGCAAACAGGAUUAGAUACCCGCGUAG
rnacentral:rRNA from 1 species